GACAGAGGGUGCAAACGUUUGUUCGGAAUUACUGGGCGUAAAGCGCGUGUAGGUGGCAAGGCAAGUCGGGUGUGAAAGCCCUGGGCUCAACCCAGGAAGUGCACUCGAUACUGCCUCGCUAGAGUCCCGGAGAGGUUGGUGGAACUCUCGGUGUAGAGGUGAAAUUCGUAGAUAUCGAGAAGAACACCGGUGGCGAAGGCGGCCAACUGGACGGUGACUGACACUGAGACGCGAAAGCGUGGGGAGCAAACAGGG
rnacentral:rRNA from 1 species